GAUUUGACAUGCACGGAUGGGCUACCUGAAGGGAUAGUCCUGCUUCGGGUGAAACGUGCACAGGUGCUGCAUGGCUGUCGUCAGCUCGUGUCGUGAGAUUGCCGGGUUAAGUCCCUUAACGAGCGAAACCCUUGUCACUAGUUGCCAGCGAGUUAUGUCGGGGACUCUAGUGAGACUGCCGGUGUUAAACCGGAGGAAGUGGGAUGACGUCAAGUCCUCAUGGCCUUUAUGUCUAGGGCUGCACACGUCCUACAAUGGUGCAUACAAAGGGAAGCAAACCUGCGAGGGCAAGCAAAUCCCAAAAAGUGCGCCUCAGUUCGGAUUGCAGGCUGCAACUCGACUCCAUGAAGUUGGAAUCGCUAGUAAUCGCGGAUCAGCACGCCGCGGUGAAUACGUUCCCGGGCCUU
rnacentral:rRNA from 1 species